GAGCCAUUAGCUCAGUUGGUAGAGCAUCUGACUUUUAAUCAGAGGGUAAGAGGUUCGAAUCCUCUAUGGCUCA
rnacentral:tRNA from 1 species